rnacentral:lncRNA from 1 species
CUGGAUUGAUUUUCCUGCCCCAGUUGGACACAGACAGGAAUAGAGGUUCUUCGUGCGGGUGUGUGCAUCGUGUGUUACUGAAGGGUCACAGGAGACAGCUCAUGACAGCAAAGUGGGGGCCACAGAGCCAAGGGCAAGCACCGAGGCCCAGGAAGGAAAGAUGGAAAAGACACUCCUGAGAACCUGGAAGUUUGGUAUUGACAACAGAAAAUGUACAGGUCAUUGACUGAACGUUCUGCUUGUUAAAUACACGUUUUGCGGUUUUGAAGAAAAAGACAAAAUGUAUAAGAAGCAGAUUAAAAUUAGAAACAUGAGCAAGAGUAGGUGGUGGAAAGUUAAAUGUAAGGAAGUAAACUGUUCCAGGAAAUUCUUUUAAAAAGCUUUUAUUUCAAGGUCACAAAAAUGUCAAGGAAGGAAGAAAAUGAUUAUUUCUUUAAAAAGAAAACUGGAAUGUAAAAGCUAUGACAGAACUCACGAGAGGUAGAGAGAGUGAGGAAGAAAAGCGAGUUCAAAACAGAGAGGAAGAAUAUUGUUGUGGAAAAGCAUUGAUUCUAAUUCCCAAUUUCUGCCAAGCAUUGAUGAUGGAGACUCCCAUUCUUCUUUUGUCACCAUGUGAAGAACGACGUGUUAGCUUCCCCUUCUGCCAUGAUUCUAAGUUUCCUGAGGCCUCCCCGGCUGUGUUGAAUGGUGAGUCAAUUAAAAAUUGACUUUAUAAAUAUUUUAUAAUAAAAUCACCUUUAUAAAUUACCCAGUCUUGGGUUUGUCUUUUUAGAAGCAUGAGAAUGAACUAAUAUACCAACAUCCAGAAUAAUAAAUAAAUCAUUAUUGAUAAAGAUAUACCCUUUAUUCAUCCCCCAAUAUCUUUACUUCCUCACUUCCAGAGAUGAAGGUGGUGUUCAUGAUGCGGCAUUAUUUAUCAUGAAUAUCCUAUAUGUCCAAACGUGAGGAAAUGAAUUAAAUAAAUUAUGAUACCUUGAAGUGGUGAAAUAUCAUUAAUUAAAUUAGUGAAUUAAAUAUUUUUAUUAUGAUUAUAAUGCAUAUACAUCAUUAGACAUUUAGAAAAAUAGUCUUGAAACAAAACUAAAAAACAACUCAUGAUUCCUCCAACCAGAUCUAACCAUUUUAACUUUUAGGUCAUCAAAGUUUUUUAAUAGAUAUGAUUAAAUAUUAUUUAAAAAGGAAAGCAUGCUGUAUAUACAGUUUUAUAAUUUUCUUUUUCUCUUAAUUCACGGAUACAAAUUUUUGUUAUAAAAUAUUAUUUUAAAAACAAUUUAGCAGCUGUAUUGUACUUCAUUGUUUAAUAUUUACUCAAUAUUUUUGUAAGAUGUCAGUUAUUUAUUAUUAUAAAUGAGAAUGCUGUAAACUUUGUAGUUAAAUAUUUGCUAUGCAACAGUAACUAUUUAUUAGGUAAAUUUCUAGAAGUGUAAUAUUGUAGUUUAAAAUUCUAACCAGAAGCAAUCAUUCUUUGCAGAGCAUUUAAUGACAUGAUAUUUUGCUAAGUGAAAAAAGUGUGGCAUAUUUGCAAUGUUGAAAGAUGCAUGCAAAGUGAUGGGGUGAACUAUUUUUAUAUGCAUCUUUAUGCUUUUCUGAAUUGUCCAGUUUUUCUAUAGCAAGCAUAGAUUACCUUAUUGAUCAGAAACAGAAUAAUAGUUUUAAAUAAAUAAUUGAAUAAAUAUUGAAUAAACCUCACAAAUAUCAGGGUCCCGGGAAUAGUAGUAACUUUACAGUAGCUCAAAGUCAGCAAGGUACUGAAGCUGUUUAGGAAUAAAAUGCCACAUUACAUUUUUAAGAACAAAAUCAAAUAAGAGUACGUCCACAGCCUAAGUUUGUGGGACUAUAAAUGCCACACUAUUCUAUAGAGAUGAUAUAAUGUGUUUGUAUAAGUGGCACCAAGUUGCUUAAGGGGAUCAGAAGCUGGUAUAAAUUACUGGGCCCAGCCAUCCAGAAAGGCACCAGGAAUAGAUUAUAUGGUAUGUCAACUAAAAUCUACCGUUACUACGGGAUACAUGAAAAUAAUUUUUUUUUUUUUUUUUUUUUUUUGAGACGGAGUUUCGCUCUUGUUACCCAGGCUGGAGUGCAAUGGCGCAAUCUCGGCUCACCACAACCUCCGCCUUCUGGGUUCAAGCAAUUCUCCUGCCUCAGCCUCCCGAGUAGCUGGGAUUACAGGCACGCGCCACCACGCCCAGCUAAUUUUUUGUAUUUUUAGUAGAGACGGGGUUUCACCAUGUUGACCGGGAUGGUCUCGAUCUCUUGACCUCGUGAUCCACCCGCCUCGGCCUCCCAAAGUGCUGGGAUUACAGGCUUGAGCCACCGCGCCCGGCAAUAAUUUUUUUUUCAUUAGUUUUCUAACCCCCUUCUUGGUAGCUUUCUCUUUUGAGAGUGGAAGUAACUAAUAGUCUGAGUCUCUCUGUUGAAGGAGGAACAACAAACUCAAGCUGAAUCAAGGCUAGCAUUUAACUCCAAAGGAUUAUAAUCUGGGAAUGGGAGAUUCAGACUUUCAAGAGGAUAGUUAGGGAGAGGCAAGUAAUAAUACCAUGAUUGCAGUUGAAGUGCUGUUUCAGAACAGGCAUUGGGAGAGAACUCAGUCCUCAGCAAGAACAGGUUAACCUUUCAAGGAAUCGUGGGAAUCUAGUACUGUAGUCAUACUUGAACAUAGAAAGGUUUACAAUGCACAGAAAUAAAUGUCUACGCCCAAGGCCCAUAUUGGUGUCAUGUGAUAAUCAAGAUGACCAAACAAUGUAAAAUAUCUGUACUUUUUUUUCAAACUAAGUUUUUAUUUUGAGUCACCACUCUGCCAAGUGCCAGAAAACCUAAUCUGGUUAAUCUCUGCUAAUUUGAUGACAUCAACAUUUUCCUCCUCAUUUUGGGUCUAUUCAUUGAAGCUUUGGGCCCUGUUUCUCUCCUAUGAGCUGUGGCAAGAACACGCUCAGUUCUGUACACUCCUUCUCCCUGGGAUAGGGUCUGGGUCUGAUAGCAGUCUCAUGGUUGAUAUUCAUUUUCCAGGCUCUGGAGUCACGAUUGACCCCUGAAUUCCUCACUCUUUGUUCUUCCUAAUGAUGGAUUCUUCUGCUCCGAUGUCCAUCCAAUGUCAGGCCCUUGGGAAUUCCCAGAUGUCAGAUCCCAGUUGAGUCCUGAUCCUCUCACCCCAUCUACAAACGACGAAUCAACAAGUCUUCAUUAACAGGAACAACUGGUCUAUUGCUGUGUUAUUCUUAUAUUAGAAUAGUAUAUGUAGAAUAGUACUGUUCUAAUAUAAGAAUGUAAUAUGUAGAAUAUUGUAAUUCUUUAUAAUAGAACAACAUUGACAUUUGAUAUUAUACUGGGCAAAACCAUAAAAUCUGAUUUCCUUUUUUGAUUUCAAAAGUUCAGUAACCUAAUUGCAUAAAGAAUUUGAUAGAAAUAAAAUUUCUUGAUCAAUCUUUCUUGAAGUGAUUUAAAUUAUUUUAAAGCAAAAGGAAAGGUAGAAUGUAAAAUUGAGACAUCCUCUGGUAUUGUUAUCAUGCACAAGAAAAUUCAGAAAUAAAGCCACCUGAAAAGUGUAGCAAAUAAUUCAAUUCUUUAAGGAGCAAACUAUGAGAACAGAUGGACAAACCAAAGAUGUACAGUCUAUCAACUUUUCAAAUAAGCAGACCAAAUUACUGGCAGAUGCAAUUUGUUUCAUAUUAGGAAAGGGUGAGUUGACCAGGAGUGUAUCCCAAAGAAUAGUGACAACUGUUGUAAUGAAGGAGAAAUGAUACGAUCUAAAUAGUAGGA